UGGGGAAUAUUGCGCAAUGGGCGAAAGCCUGACGCAGCGACGCCGCGUGGGUGAUGAAGGCCUUCGGGUCGUAAAGCCCUGUCGGGAGGGAAGAAUCCUCGGUGAUCUAAUAAAUCAUCGACAUGACGGUACCUCCUAAGGAAGCACCGGCUAACUCCGUGCCAGCAGCCGCGGUAAUACGGAGGGUGCGAGCGUUGUUCGGAAUCACUGGGCGUAAAGCGCGUGUAGGCGGCCUACUAAGUCUGGUGUGAAAGCCCGGGGCUUACCCCCGGAAGUGCACUGGAUACUGGGAGGCUAGAGUACCGGAGAGGAGGGUGGAAUUCCUGGUGUAGCGGUGAAAUGCGUAGAUAUCAGGAGGAACACCGGUGGCGAAGGCGGCCCUCUGGACGGCUACUGACGCUGAGACGCGAAAGCGUGGGGAGCAAACAGGAUUAGAUACCCCUGUAGUCC
rnacentral:rRNA from 1 species